UGGGGGAUAUUGCACAAUGGAGGAAACUCUGAUGCAGCAACGCCGCGUGAGGGAAGAAGGUCUUCGGAUUGUAAACCUCAGUAGUCAGGGACGAAAGAAAUGACGGUACCUGAAGAGUAAGCUCCGGCUAACUACGUGCCAGCAGCCGCGGUAAUACGUAGGGAGCGAGCGUUGUCCGGAUUUACUGGGUGUAAAGGGCGCGCAGGCGGGAUAAAAAGUCAGUGGUAAAAUCCUACAGCUUAACUGUAGAACUGCCUUUGAUACUUUUAUUCUUGAGUUCGGGAGAGAGAGACGGAAUUCCAGGUGUAGUGGUGAAAUACGUAGAUAUCUGGAAGAACACCAGUUGCGAAGGCGGUCUCUUGGUCCGACACUGACGCUGAGGCGCGAAAGCGUGGGGAGCAAACA
rnacentral:rRNA from 1 species